UCUUUGGGGAAGGUGAAACUCCUUACCGGCGGUAAAGCCCGCGAGCCUUUUGGCAGAUUCGGUGAAAUUCCGAGGCCGACAGUAUAGUCUGGAUGAAAAAAGAC
rnacentral:ncRNA from 1 species